GGGGCUGUGGCUCAGUGGUAGAGCAGCUGCUCAGUAUGCUGAAGGCCCCAGGGGCAAAUCCUUGGCAUCUCCA
rnacentral:tRNA from 1 species